rnacentral:rRNA from 1 species
AUGUCAGAGUUCUUGGUCACCGCCGCAUCGGUGCCAUAGACAAUGUUUAUGUGGGGGAGGAAGGUGGCGGCGUGCUGCAGGUCCAGCGCCUCGCCGCGGAGCUUGUCGGGGUGAGCGCUGACGAGCGCGAUCUCGUCGGCGAGGUUCCGGGUGAGGAUGGUCUGCACGAUGGCCAUGCCCACCUUGCCGGCGCCGAUGACAGAGACCUUGGUGAGGCGGUGGUGCGUGGAGAUGGGUGUGAUCGGGAAGCCGUCGGCCACAGGGCGGAAGAAGCCUGACGACCCUCCGCCGGCGUCUAAGCCCAGGUCCGACAGCAACGAGAUCUUGUGCAUGUUCGAGGAGUACUGGAGCGAAUGCUGGUCGGAUCAAGCGUGGGAUUGGGAGUUUGGGAUUGUAUGA